ensembl:lncRNA
GGAAAGUUUAUUUUAGCUCACAGUUCACAGACAUUUCAGUCAACAGCUGGCUUUGGGGCAGGGUGGUAGGGCACAGGGGCAUCACAGAGGAGAAACAGUCCAUGGCACGGUAGGCAGGCAGUGAGGAGCAAGCAAACCUUCCUUUUCCCUUUUAUCCCGUUUGUGCUACCUGCCUUUUGGGUGGUGCCAUCCACACCCAGAACUAUGCUAAGCCAAUCAGUGGACUUACUGACUACCACACACCCUUAAUUCCAGUGGCACACAUCCUAGAUCCAGCCAGCUCUGGAAAGCGCCACCUGAGCCCAUGAGGCUUUGGGGGGGGACAUCUGGAUACAAGCCAUAACAGGGCUAGGUGGAACUUGGAAGCUAGUGUGUGUGUGACAGACACACAGACUGCCUUGUGGCUGCUCCAUAUCUCAGCCACUGCCCACCACACCCAGAUUCAAGCAGCCUUGCUUACCCAAGAUUCCCAAGCCUGGGUUCCAGCUCAGACCCUCUGAGCUUCAGCCCCACAGCCCCACUGGUCCAGCAGUGCCCGUGCCUCAGGGACAGUGAGUAAGGUCGACAGUUACGGCGGGAUCGUUGCCUGGCGUGCUGCCACCUCUGCCUGCCCCUCCAGGGCCCCUGGCCUCAUCCCUUCUCUGUCUCCUCCCUCCUGCACCCUCAGCCCACCGCCCCCCGACAUCCCCGUCUUGGGGUUCCCACUGAGUGGUCCUUCCAGAUGUUCAACACCAGAGCCAAACUCACUGCAGCCCCCCCCAUGGUCCCCAACACAAAAUCCCAGCCCCUGAGUCCUGCUCUUGAGGCCCCUAAUGAGUGAACCCAUUAGGUGCCACCAGGCUGGCUUCAGGCCCAGGCGCCUGCCCUCUUCUCCCAGGGCUCCCACUGUCCUGUGCAGCUCCGCCCUCUUGAGAUCUCCUGGGCUCUCCCAGCCUUGAGGCUUCAGGCAGGGGCCCAGGAUGUGAAGAGCUCCGUGCUUCCUGCCACACCCCUCAGACACCUUUCUGUGCUCUCAGCACCAAGGAAGCUCCACCUCCUCUGAGGUCAUCCUGGAUCCAGGUGUCCCUAGCAGGUGGUUGUGUGGUGUAGUCCAAGGAUAUGAGAAGCCAGCCUUAGAGUGGUUUAAGCUGCUGCCCCCUCACAGUGGCUUCAGAAAACAACUGCAUAGGUUUCCGACCCUCAGGGAGACCCCUGGACAAGGAGCUAGGCUCAUCCAGGGCUUCUAGCUGCUGGCCCAGCACUGUAGCUUGGACCUGCCCCCAUCGAGCAAGGUGUGAUGGGGGUGCUGUCCUAAAGGGGCCUGCUUGACUUGGCCCAGUCCAUGGAGCAACAGGCUCUCAUGGCCCAAACCCACUUCCCCAGCUGCCUCUCCAUGGGCUGCAGGCGAGAAUCCACCCACUGAGGGUUGUGAAGGGACAUGGAGGGGCUGGGGCAUAAGCUGCAAAUAGGCUCACUGGGCAGGAUGUUUGCAUAGUAGGAAUAUAAGUGUUCAUUGGUAUGGAAUUUUGGGAAUUCUCCUCUCCACCCACUCAGCAGCCCCUGUCCCUCCCCCAGGUUGGUCUCUUUGUUUUGAUUUGUUUUUUUGGUACUGGGACUCAAACUCAGGACCUUGCACCUUGCCAGGCAGGUGUGGCACCACGGAGCUACAUCCCCAGCCCAGUCUCUUGGUCCCACCAUUCUCAAUGCCUAAUACAGCAGGGCUGCACUUCCACCCACCUCCAGCAGGUGGGGACAGAGGACACCCCAGUCUGGUUCCUGGCUCUCGGGCUGUCCAGCCAGGCCUCUGUCCCGGGUCGCGGGUCUCUGGAAACACUGUGCGCCCCAUCCUCUCUGAGCUGACGCUCUGCUUCUUGAGGAGAGGGUGAGACCCAGGACGGGUGAGCAGAAGGCCCCUCUACCAGCUUCGACUCCAGCCCAGGGCCACCCGGUCCCAGGCCUGCCACUCACUGCUGUGUGACCUGGGCGGGUCCCUUCCAACCUCUGAGGCUCCUCUUGUGGUUUCUUGGGCCUCAGGUGACCGAUUCCUCCAGGCGGUGUCCAGCAUCCCCGACAGACAGAAAAGAGAGAACAGUGUCACAGAGGCCUCCCGGAGACUGGGGAAACAGGGUCCCGAGCAGGGGGAGGGAUGGCGGUGAGGUGAGGGGAGAGCGCAGGAAUCACAGCAGGGAGUGGGACAGAAAGAGCAGAAGACAGAAACGGGGAGAAAGGACAGUUGAGCAAGUGGGCAAGGAAGAGAGCUGCGGGGAGGACAGCCAGGGGCAGGGUGACGGGACCAGAGGGAGGAGCAGGCAGAAGGCGAGAAAGGAGACCAAGGGAGGAGAGAGAGUGGCAGAGGAGGAGGGGGGGGGGGCGGGGAGGGAGGAGGAAUAGGAGCAGGAAAAGGGAGGGGGGAAGAAGAGGGAAGAGAAGCAGCAGGAGGAGGAGUAGGAAGCGGGGGAUGACGGGAGGGGGGAGGGAGGAAAAGGGAGGGUCGAGGCUGGGAGAGGAAGGGAGGGAGGAACGGGAGGAGAGCGAGCGGAGGGAAGAGGCCGGCGGCGAGGGGAGGGGGAAGAAGGCGAAGGUGGGUUCCUGAGGGAGGAAAGCGAGAGGAGCAGGAGGGCGGGAAGACAGGGGAACAGCAGGAGCGGGGAGGAAGGGAGUGAGGGAAGAGGGCUGGUGCAGCGGCUCGGGAGGCCGAGGCAGGGGGACCGCUGUGAGUCCAGGGCUGGUCCACACCCAGUGGUGAGACUUGUCACACACGAAGGAGGAUGAAGAAGAAAAAGGAGGACGGUGGAGAAGAGGGGCAGGGGGGUAGAAGACAGGAAAGAGGAGGAGAGAUGGAGGAGGAGGAGGUGAUAAAAGAUGAGAAGAAGUGGAAGGAGGGGAAGUGGACGGGAAGUAGAGGGUGAGGGAGUAGAGGGAAGGAGGAGACAGGGAGUAGAGAGGAGCAGGAAGAGGGGGGAAGAGUGGAGGAGGAGGUGAGGAUGGAUAGGGAGAGGGAAGCAGGAGGGGAAGAGAGCCCGAGUCACCGCCCCGUGGGCCCCCCAGUGUGACGCCCUCCCCCCGGUCCCCAGAGUAGGGAGCUGCGACACGAACCCCGGGUCCAGGACCUGGCGGGAAGCUCCAAGCGCAGGUCGCAGGCCUGUGUGUCCCGAGGGGUAAACAGCAGCGGGGAGGAGG